UGGUGGUCGAGGGGGUCGAGCGGAUGCCAGCCGUCGUGAGGGAUCUAGCGCUCAAGGGAGUUGAUAAGACGGGUGCGACCGUGCGAGGCCACCGGCGGUCCAGGGGAUCCAGCCAAGGCGAGGCGCCGGAGGGGAUCCGGUGCUAGAGCGGCUGCAUCCAGGGAACUCUUUGUGGGCAACCUGUUCUUCUCCAUGGUGCUCCAGCAACUGCACAAGGAGGUCGGGCCUCUAUUGGUGCUCUGCAGAAUUCAGAUUGGAGGUGAUGGAGGGCACUGUACAAGAGAGGACAUGUGUAUGGGCAACAACAGUACAUCAGCUAAUGUUGUUGGCGGUGGUCAACUGAUUUGAGCAUAUUUGUAGACUGGCAGGCGCGCGCCUGUACUGCCUGAGUCACCACUGGAGAGAGGAUCUGAGAGGAGACGGGCAGAUGCUCCAGACGAUUCUGUACAUUGAGCAGCUUCCUCUUCAUCUAUACCCAAUAUCUCUAUUUCGAAAUGUUCACAUACUUGGUUCUCUCCCAUGUGACAUGUGACUAAAACUAAAAUUAAUAUGUGCAACUGACAAUGGGGCAUCUCACGAGAAUGGAAAUUAAUAGUCGUCAUAGUAGCAUGGAUGCCAUAGGGUUAUUUUUCAUCCCCAUUCAAGUAUUAGUUAUUCCAAGCUUCUUAGCUCUAUAAUUUGGUAAUCCUACUAACAUCACUUAAUUGAAAUAUUUUUGGUUUUUCUUAUGCUCCGCUUGCAGGUAACAAUGUACCUGAAAAGUCAAAUAUGCAACCUUUCACUCAAAGCCCUUAAAAAUAAACUGGCAAGAAUUUGGUAUAUAUAUUUUGUAAUUAAAUUUCUGUCUUAUACUGCAACUUAUAUUAUCAACAUUUUUUCAUGAGUUAAAUUUCCUUUACUUGAAAACGAGCCACCUUUUCUAACACAGUAAAGCUAUGUUUAGAAGUUUUCACUAAUUAACUUUUGAAGGGAUCUGAAACUAGGUUACCCACUAUCACAAAUAAUGAAUGCAUCUGUACAAUAUUCAGUUGGGUACCUUCUUUUAGUUUGACUUUCAUAAUUUUGACAAUUUUUUUAAUUGAACUAUGGAUUGUUAUUGUUGUUCCAUGUAUUUGUUAUGCACUAUUGUCCCACCUUAUGUUACUUGCCAAUAUUGCAAAACAUAUGUUUUGGUGGAGCUAUCUCAGUGACCUUGGUAUGAUUUUACCUUGUAUAGUACAAUUUGGAUAGAAAUAUCAUAUGUAAUCAGUAAGUUUGAAUUUAAGUUUUCUGUUUAUAUUUCAUUUGUUUCCUCAAAGGUUGAAUUCACAAGAUAAUCCUAUUUUCCAAGAGACCUUUUCAUCGCCUCCAGACAUGUGUUUCUCUGUAAGUACUAAACUGGUUUGGAAAUUUUUAUUUGUGGUCUGUCUAGGAUGUCAAAUCAUUUUCUGUAUGAUAGUAUUAUCUGAUCAUGGGAAAAUGACACACUUUUUCAUUACCAGAUAUGUUAUCUUACCAUUAACUGUACUAAAUCUGAUGGUCUUAAUUGGUGAUUAGAUUACUCCAUGGCCUGCUAGCUUUUGGGGAGAAAAUUAUAACUGAUCAGAUUUAAAAAAAUUCUAACCAUUUCCAUGGGAACAAGGGAUUACGUAUGUCGUUGCUUUACCUGGUACCAUUUGUUUGUAGCCACAGCCCACAACUAGAAAAAAAAGUAUCUUCAUAUUUUAUGAGGUUUCUUGACUGUUGCAAAUAUUGGCAUUCAGUCAAUGUUCUAGGCUACUUGCAUACAAGGUCUUUCUUCUUCUAAAAGUUGUUUUUUGCUAGGAAACAGCCUACUGUCACAUAUAAUAUUUUGACAUGCCCUCACUAACCUAAUUCGUUACCUUUUGAUACCGCAACAAAUUUGAAAAGAUGUAAAGUAAGUGUGAUUGACAACUCCUACGAGCUUUCUAAUUCGACUCGUGUCUACCUCAGUAUAAAGUUGUAUGUCAGCGCUCUUUCCAAUUUAUUCCCAUUUUCAAGAGAA